UAUCAAAUUGCUUGGGUCAAACAAGGCUCGUCAUACACCUAUUUAAAAAACGGUUGCAACACACACAUCCGUGAUAACCAAAGUGCAACCGAGGGGCACCAUGGGAGAAAUUAACUAUGUUCCAAACAGUGCUGAAAAUGCUCGCUUCGUAGUCCCAAGAUCUUAGGUAGCUGGUUAUUUGGAUAAGAUUUUUUCUAGGCUUUUCUAUUGAUAAAGUGUGGUUUGUGUCAAGGUGGCCACUGUGGCGAAACUUGGUAGCCAAGAUUCACAAUUCGUAAUGGAAAGAUGAGUUGGGAACAUUAAAUUCAGGAACACAAGAGCUAUUGUGCUGGAGACGAACUUUAGCUAAGAUAGCUGACAUCAUCUAAAGAAUCUUUACUAAGCUCUACAAAGACAAGAAGAACUGAGGGCUGAUAACUGGACAAAACGAAUCACAAGAAAUUACAGCAACAGUUUCAUCGGUCUUUCUUGUCUUUCCGGGAUCCCAGUAAAAACCAAUCUCCAAGUUUUUUUCCGCCUAUUUUCCAUUGUGUUGCGAAAGUAGAAAUUGUUUCCACAUUUCUGAACAUUUUUACAUCCAUAAAUCUAUACCCCUCAACGACAGAUUGUUUGUUAGCCAAAAGAACUUUUAGGCAAUUGUUGACACCUGCCAUAUGUUUAAUCUCCCGCCUGUCUAAAAUUAGAUCCCAUGAUACACCGCGGGUUACGACACAUCCGCGAUAACAAAAGUGCAAUCUUUUUUGAAAUAGGUGUAUACAAUUUUGGAGGGGAGGUGCAAGAUUUGUAUAUUCAUUGAGGUUUGUAUAGGGUAUUAGAAGUUCUUUGAAAAGUUUUGUAUAGGGUGUUUUUAGCUACUGUUAUUUUUUUCUACCUUAUCAUAUUUCUACCCUAGCAGCGUUUUUUAAUUAAACUUUUUAAUUAAAAAAUUACUUCAAUCAAGCCGUGUGACACCUGCUUUUAGAAGAUGUCGACACGGCUUAGAUACAGUGUUACUUACAAGCGUCGCUUUCUCCCGAGAACGACACACUGUGUCCAGUAUUCGUCAACUUCCCUUUUGUGAAUGGAUCGUAGUGAACUUUAACGGGAGGAAUAGUGGAGUCGAACUUUGUCUCAUUGCUCACGAUGUCUAUUGGGGAUUGCCUUUUGCCGCUCGCAGCGAUUGGAAAUUUUACGCUCCAUUUCCCUGGUCCUGUCAAAUUAAAUUGAUAUGCA